GUGCUAUCUUCAGCAGCACAUAUACUAAAAUUGAAAUGAUACAGAGAAGAUUAGCAUGGCCUCUGCACAAGGUUGCCAUGCAAAAAAAAAAGUUAUGCUUAACUUUU